rnacentral:tRNA from 52 species
GGGCGAUUAGCUCAGCUGGUAGAGUAUCUCGUUUACACCGAGAGUGUCGGCGGUUCGAGUCCGUCAUCGCCCACCA